ensembl:snRNA U1 U1 spliceosomal RNA
AUACUUACCUGGCAGAGGAGAUACCAUGAUCAUGAAGGUGGUUUUCCCAGGGCCAGGUUUAUCCAUUGCACUGCAGAUGUGCUGACCCCUCAUUUUCCCCAAAUGUGGGAAAUUCAACUGUGUAAUUUGUGGUAGUGGGGGACUGCAUUUGCGCUUUCUCCUG